rnacentral:rRNA from 1 species
AGAGUUUGAUCAUGGCUCAGGACGAACGCUGGCGGCGUGCCUAAUACAUGCAAGUAGAACGCUGAAGAAAGGAGCUUGCUUCUUUUGGAUGAGUUGCGAACGGGUGAGUAACGCGUAGGUAACCUGCCUUGUAGCGGGGGAUAACUAUUGGAAACGAUAGCUAAUACCGCAUAACAGCUUUUGACACAUGUUAGAAGCUUAAAAGAUGCAAUUGCAUCACUACGAGAUGGACCUGCGUUGUAUUAGCUAGUAGGUAGGGUAACGGCCUACCUAGGCGACGAUACAUAGCCGACCUGAGAGGGUGAUCGGCCACACUGGGACUGAGACACGGCCCAGACUCCUACGGGAGGCAGCAGUAGGGAAUCUUCGGCAAUGGGGGCAACCCCGACCGAGCAACGCCGCGUGAGUGAAGAAGGUUUUCGGAUCGUAAAGCUCUGUUGUAAGAGAAGAACGUGUGUGAGAGUGGAAAGUUCACACAGUGACGGUAACUUACCAGAAAGGGACGGCUAACUACGUGCCAGCAGCCGCGGUAAUACGUAGGUCCCGAGCGUUGUCCGGAUUUAUUGGGCGUAAAGCGAGCGCAGGCGGUUUAAUAAGUCUGAAGUUAAAGGCAGUGGCUUAACCAUUGUUCGCUUUGGAAACUGUUAAACUUGAGUGCAGAAGGGGAGAGUGGAAUUCCAUGUGUAGCGGUGAAAUGCGUAGAUAUAUGGAGGAACACCGGUGGCGAAAGCGGCUCUCUGGUCUGUAACUGACGCUGAGGCUCGAAAGCGUGGGGAGCAAACAGGAUUAGAUACCCUGGUAGUCCACGCCGUAAACGAUGAGUGCUAGUGUUAGGCCCUUUCCGGGGCUUAGUGCCGCAGCUAACGCAUUAAGCACUCCGCCUGGGGAGUACGACCGCAAGGUUGAAACUCAAAGGAAUUGACGG